CCUACGGUGGGCAGCAGUGGGGGAUAUUGCACAAUGGGGGAAACCCUGAUGCAGCAACGCCGCGUGAGUGAAGAAGUAUUUCGGUAUGUAAAGCUCUAUCAGCAGGGAAGAAGAAAGUGACGGUACCUUAGGAAUAAGCCUCGGCUAACUACGUGCCAGCAGCAGCGGUAAUACGUAGGAGGCAAGCGUUAUCCGGACGUACUGGGCGUAAGGGGUGCGUAGGGGGUUUGACAAGUUGGUAGCGUAACUCCGGGGCUCAACCUCGGCACUACUACCAAAACUGUUGGACUUGGGUGCAGGAGGGGCAAAUGGAAUUCCUAGUGUAGCGGUGGAAUGCGUAUAUAUUAGGAGGAACACCAGUGGCGAAGGCGAUUUGCUGGACUGUAACUGACACUGAGGCACGAAAGCGUGGGGAGCAAACAGGAUUAUAUACCCCUGUAGUC
rnacentral:rRNA from 1 species